UACGUAGGGUGCGAGCGUUAAUCGGAAUUACUGGGCGUAAAGCGUGCGCAGGCGGUUAUGCAAGACGGAUGUGAAAUCCCCGGGCUCAACCUGGGAACUGCAUUCGUGACUGCAUAGCUAGAGUUUGUCAGAGGGGGGUGGAAUUCCACGUGUAGCAGUGAAAUGCGUAGAUAUGUGGAAGAACACCGAUGGCGAAGGCAGCCCCCUGGGAUAAGACUGACGCUCAUGCACGAAAGCGUGGGGAGCAAACAGG
rnacentral:rRNA from 1 species